GAUUAUGACGUACUUGUACUGAUUGAGAUUUUAACACGAAGUGAGUGGCGAACGGGUGAGUAACACGUGGGUAACCUGCCCAGAAGUAGGGGAUAACACCUGGAAACAGAUGCUAAUACCGUAUAACAGAGAAAACCGCAUGGUUUUCUUUUAAAAGAUGGCUCUGCUAUCACUUCUGGAUGGACCCGCGGCGUAUUAGCUAGUUGGUGAGGUAAAGGCUCACCAAGGCAGUGAUACGUAGCCGACCUGAGAGGGUAAUCGGCCACAUUGGGACUGAGACACGGCCCAGACUCCUACGGGAGGCAGCAGUA
rnacentral:rRNA from 1 species